rnacentral:sRNA from 1 species
CUUACGUAACUCACUACCUAGACAAGACUUUCUACAAUCUAACAACAGUAGCCCUUCAUGACUGGGCCACUUAUAGUGAGAUGAGAAACUUAGCUACUCAGCGUUAUGGACUGGUUAUGACAGAGGCACAUCUUCCCAGUCAGACUUUGGAACAGGGCCUUGAUGUUUUAGAAAUUAUGAGAAACAUUCAUAUAUUUGUGUCCCGAUACCUCUAUAAUCUCAACAAUCAGAUUUUUAUUGAACGAACAAGCAAUAACAAGCAUUUGAAUACUAUUAAUAUUCGGCAUAUUGCUAAUUCAAUUCGAACACAUGGCACGGGAAUUAUGAAUACAACUGUAAGAACUUUUCUUUGGGGGUUGAGUGGGUAAUAGACCCGUUUAAUAGCUUGGAACGUGGUUUUCUCAUAGAAUAUUGCGGUAAACAUACACUACUAGUUUAUAUUUUACAUGAAUUUCCUUUUUUUUUCUGGUUAGUAAUUAAAAUGUCUGGUCCUAAAAUUGUGUUGGAUGUGAUGGGAGUUGUGAUACAAAAGACACUUUAGGGUAGAUUACCAUCUCAGAGCCAUCAUUAUAAAUAGUGCUAGAUAUUUGAGGACAUCAGCACAUUAAUAUAUGUGUGUGCACACAUAUAUAUAUGUUUAUCUGUGUUGAUCUGUGAUCCCUGAAAGUUUACUUUUGAAAGUCAACAAUAGAUAGUAAUUUACUUAAUGUUAUUUAUGCCCUUUUUGGGGCA